rnacentral:rRNA from 1 species
CCUACGGGUGGCAGCAGUGAGGAAUAUUGGUCAAUGGCCGAGAGGCUGAACCAGCCAAGUCGCGUGAGGGAAGACGGCCCUACGGGUUGUAAACCUCGUUGGUCGGGGAGCAAAGAGAGUCACGUGUGACUCAUUGAGAGUACCCGAAGAAAACGCAUCGGCUAACUCCGUGCCAGCAGCCGCGGGAAUACGGAGGAUGCUAGCGUUAUCGGGAUUGUUGGGGGUAAAGGGGUGCGCAGGCGGAGGUGCAAGUCAGCGGUCAAGUUGCGGGGCUCAACCCCGUACUGCCGUUGAAACUGCAUCCCUUGAGUGCGCGAGAGGUAUGCGGAAUGCGUGGUGUAGCGGUGAAAUGCAUAGAUAUCACGCAGAACUCCGAUUGCGAAGGCAGCAUACCGGCGCGCAACUGACGUUCAUGCACGAAAGCGUGGGUAUCGAACAGGAUUAGAUACCCUAGUAGUC